rnacentral:lncRNA from 1 species
UGAUACCAAUGGAGGCUUCUCCUUUCCCCUCUAGGUUUCAAUCCACUCCAUAUCUCAACUUCUCUACUCAGGAUCCAGGGAAGAAAAUACUUACACAUAGCUAUGAGGUGAGGAAUUUGGACUCAAAUGCCGCUGCAGUCAAUGUAACCUUUGAGCUUCCUUUGAAGACAAAACAGGGAUUCUUUUGGAAUAUAACACCAUCCUACAGUGAUGUGAAAAAUCACUUCUCCUGCACACCAUUGUUUACCCUCAGAACAGGAAUCAGCAAGAAGAAUGUCACAAAACGCAUCACGAGAGGCUGUCUGGGCGCUGUGGCUUGCCCCAAAGUUUACUGCUUUAUCAACAGUCUCGUUAAAGGAGAAUCGAUUAGAUUCAAUUUUUCUGGAGAUUUUUACAGAGAAGAUAAAUCUUCCAAACUGAAGUCCGAAAUAUUCCAUGUUGGCAGCGAGGCAUCCAUAAGGGUGGAUGAGACCAGAUUUUUCCUGAACGAACGAGAGGAUUUCAGCCAGGUAAUUCAGCCAGGAUUGGUUAACUAAAGAGAUAAUGGUGGAAUAGUGCAAAUG